rnacentral:misc_RNA from 1 species
GAAAUGCGAUAAGUAGUGUGAAUUGCAGAAUUCAGUGAAUCAUCGAAUCUUUGAACGCACAUUGCGCCCCUUGGUAUUCCAUGGGGCAUGCCUGUUCGAGCGUCAUUUGUACCCUCAAGCUCUGCUUGGUGUUGGGUGUUUGUCCCGUCUCCGCGCGUGGACUCGCCCCAAAGUGAUUGGCAGCCGGCGUACUGGUCCCGGAGCGCAGCACAUGUCGCGCAAACGAGUGCCUUGGUACGGCGGCGUCCAUAAGCCCCUAUCUCACGCUCUUGACCUCGGAUCAGGUAGGGAUACCCGCUGAACUUAAGC